rnacentral:lncRNA from 1 species
UAUAUAUGUAUAAUCUGCAUCCAUUGGAAACCAAUUACUUUUCUUAUAUCAUCUUGCCAUCAUUUGCAUUGCCUGCAAGGAUAUUUUUUCUUGCCUUGGUUGUCACUCUAAUUCUCUUCAUCCAUUGGUUAUCAAGUAUAUCUCACUCUGUUGCCUGCCCAAUGUCACUUAGUGCUUUUAAUUAUUACCAUUAUCAUCAUUGGUUUGUUUUCUUAUCCAGAUGUUUUGGUUUUUGCAGUCUCUCAGUUUUGUUUCAAUAAUUUAUGUAAAUAUUGUAAAAAACAAUGAUGACGACAAUAAAGC